ensembl:snRNA U6 U6 spliceosomal RNA
CUCUUUUAGCAGCAGAUACACUAAAAUUGGAAAGAUACAGAGGAGAUUAGUAUGGCCCCUGCAUAAGAAUGACACUCAAAUUUGUGAAGUGUUCCAUAUUUUU